UUCCAUGGUGAGGACAAUCUGAUAUAUAACCUUGAAAAUGCUCCCAUGCUUCUGGAAUGGUUUCUUAUUUCUGCUGUUGGAAAUUGGUUAUCUUUCCUCUUAAGGCA
rnacentral:snoRNA from 1 species